UUCUACGGCCAUACUACCCUGAACACACACCCUCUGAUCUCGGAAGCUAAGCAGGGUCAGGCCUGGUUAGUACUCAGAUGGGAGACCGCCCUGGGAAUACCGGGCGCUGUAGGCU
rnacentral:rRNA from 1 species